UACCUCUUAGCAGGGGAUAACAAUUUGGAAACAAAUGCUAAUACCGUAUAAUAAUUAAACCGCAUGGUUUAGUUUAAAAGAUGGUCUUGCUAUCACUAAGAGAUGGUCCCGCGGUGUAUUAGUUAGUUGGUGAGGUAUGGCUCACCAAGACAAUGAUACAUAGCCGAGUUGAGAGACUGACCGGCCACAAUGGGACUGAGACACGGCCCAUACUCCUACGGGAGGCAGCAGUAGGGAAUCUUCCACAAUGGACGAAAGUCUGAUGGAGCAACGCCGCGUGUGUGAUGGAGGGUUUCGGCUCGUAAAACACUGUUGUAAGAGAAGAAUGACAUUGAGAGUAACUGUUCAAUGUGUGACGGUAUCUUACCAGAAAGGAACGGCUAAAUACGUG
rnacentral:rRNA from 1 species